AUGCUGCGGAAGGCGGCCGUCGGGUUCCUCGCCUGCCUCGUGCUCUACCUCGCCUUCUCCUCCUACCUCCGUAGCCAGAGGGCUGCAUAUGUUCAGUUACCAGCGGUUACUCACAGGGUAUACCUGGACGUGGAAAUUGAUGGCCAAAAUAUAGGUAGAAUUGUUAUUGGUCUUUAUGGGGAAGUGGUGCCAAAAACAGUUGAAAAUUUUAGAGCCCUUUGUACAGGUGAAAAGGGCGAUGGGCCCAAGGGUAAACCUCUUCACUAUAAAGGAACACCAUUUCAUCGAAUCAUCCCAGGUUUCAUGAUUCAGGGUGGUGACAUAGUUAGAGGUGAUGGGAAAGCAAGCGAAUCUAUAUAUGGAGGCACCUUCCCAGAUGAGAAUUUCAGUGUGAAACAUACACAUCCAGGUGUUGUUGCCAUGGCAAAUUCUGGAACUGAUUCCAACGGAUCCCAGUUCUACAUAACCACAAUCAAGACAGGCUGGUUGGACGGGGAGCAUGUAGUCUUUGGCAGGGUGAUUCAGGGAAUGGAUUAUGUCUACGCCAUUGAAGGGGGCGCAGGCACUUACAACGGCAAGCCGAGGAAGAAGGUGCUGAUCACUGACUCUGGUGAGAUACCCAGGGAGAAAUGGGGCGAGGAAGCAGACUGA
rnacentral:rRNA from 1 species